AGAGUUUGAUCCUGGCUCAGGACGAACGCUGGCGGCGUGCCUAAUGCAUGCAAGUCGCACGCACUGCCUUCGGGCAGUGAGUGGCGCACGGCUGAGGAACACGUGGAUACCUGCCCGACCGUGAGGGAAAACGCAGCGAAAGCCGCGCUAAUCCCGCAUACGCUUCCGCAUUCUGUGGAAGGAAAGCCGUACGGCGCGGUCGGAGGGGUCUGCGGCCCAUCAGGUAGUCGGCGGGGUAACGGCCCACCGAGCCGAUGACGGGUAGCUGGUCUGUGAGGACAGACAGCCAGACUGGGACUGAGACACGGCCCAGACUCCUACGGGAGGCAGCAGCAAGGAAUUUUCCCAAUGGGCGCAAGCCUGAGGGAGCAACGCCGCGUGGAGGACGACGGCCCUCGGGUUGUAAACUCCUUUUGGGGGGGACGAUGAUGACGGUACCCCCCGAAUCAGCCCCGGCUAACUCUGUGCCAGCAGCCGCGGUAAUAC
rnacentral:rRNA from 1 species